GACCCAAUAACUUCAUCAAGUGGGAACAAGCUACACUAGGGAUGACAGCACAAUCCUAUUCUAGAGUCCAAAUCGACAAUAGGGUUUACGACCUCGAUGUUGGAUCAGGUCAUCCUAAUGGUGUAACUGCUAUUAAAGGUUCGUUUGUUCGACGAUUGAAGUCCUACAUGAUCGGUGAGGUCAGGAGAUCUAUAGCAUCCUGGCC
rfam:Pan troglodytes isolate Yerkes chimp pedigree #C0471 (Clint) chromosome 4, whole genome shotgun sequence.